UCCUCUGACGUUAGCGGCGGACGGGUGAGUAACACGUGGAUAACCUACCUAUAAGACUGGGAUAACUUCGGGAAACCGGAGCUAAUACCGGAUAAUAUAUUGAACCGCAUGGUUCAAUAGUGAAAGACGGUUUUGCUGUCACUUAUAGAUGGAUCCGCGCCGCAUUAGCUAGUUGGUAAGGUAACGGCUUACCAAGGCAACGAUGCGUAGCCGACCUGAGAGGGUGAUCGGCCACACUGGAACUGAGACACGGUCCAGACUCCUACGGGAGGCAGCAGUAGGGAAUCUUCCGCAAUGGGCGAAAGCCUGACGGAGCAACGCCGCGUGAGUGAUGAAGGUCUUCGGAUCGUAAAACUCUGUUAUUAGGGAAGAACAAAUGUGUAAGUAACUAUGCACGUCUUGACGGUACCUAAUCAGAAAGCCACGGCUAACUACGUGCCAGCAGCCGCGGUAAUACGUAGGUGGCAAGCGUUAUCCGGAAUUAUUGGGCGUAAAGCGCGCGUAGGCGGUUUUUUAAGUCUGAUGUGAAAGCCCACGGCUCAACCGUGGAGGGUCAUUGGAAACUGGAAAACUUGAGUGCAGAAGAGGAAAGUGGAAUUCCAUGUGUAGCGGUGAAAUGCGCAGAGAUAUGGAGGAACACCAGUGGC
rnacentral:rRNA from 1 species